AUGAACGCUGGCGGCGUGCCUAAUCCAUGCCAGUCGAGCGCACGGACGAGAAGCUUGCUUCUCUGAUGUUAGCGGCGGACGGGUGAGUAACACGUGGAUAACCUACCUAUAAGACUGGGAUAACUUCGGGAAACCGGAGCUAAUACCGGAUAAUAUUUUGAACCGCAUGGUUCAAAAGUGAAAGACGGUCUUGCUGUCACUUAUAGAUGGAUCCGCGCUGCAUUAGCUAGUUGGUAAGGUAACGGCUUACCAAGGCAACGAUGCAUAGCCGACCUGAGAGGGUGAUCGGCCACACUGGAACUGAGACACGGUCCAGACUCCUACGGGAGGCAGCAGUAGGGAAUCUUCCGCAAUGGGCGAAAGCCUGACGGAGCAACGCCGCGUGAGCGAUGAAGGUCUUCGGAUCGUAAAACUCUGUUAUUAGGGAAGAACAUAUGUGUAAGUAACUGUGCACAUCUUGACGGUACCUAAUCAGAAAGCCACGGCUAACUACGUG
rnacentral:rRNA from 1 species